CCUACGGGAGGCAGCAGUGAGGAAUAUUGGUCAAUGGACGGAAGCCUGAACCAGCCAUGCCGCGUGAAGGAAGACGGCCCUAUGAGUUGUAAACUUCUUUUGUACAAGGGUAAACCUGAAUACGUGUAUUCAGCUUAAAGUACUGUACGAAUAAGGCUCGACUAACUCCGUGCCAGCAGCCCAGGUAAGACGGAGGAUCCCAGCGUUUUCCGGAUUUAUUGGGGUUAAAGGGUUCGGCGGCGGGUUGGUAAGUUAGUGGUGAAAUGUCCGAGCGUAAAUCGGGACCUGCCGUUAAUACUGUUGAUCUAGAGAGUGGGAGAGGUAGGCGGAAUGUACGGUGUAGCGGUGAAAUGCUUAGAGAUCGUACAGAACACCGAUUGCGAAGGCAGCUUACC
rnacentral:rRNA from 1 species